rnacentral:rRNA from 1 species
UUCCGGUUGAUCCUGCCGGAAGCUACCGCUAUUGGAGUUCGAUUAAGCCAUGCGAGUCGCGAGAAAUUAGAUUCUCGGCGUACCGCUCAGUAACACGUGGGUAACCUGCCCUAUGCUGGAUAAUAACCUCGGGAAACUGAGAAUAAUGAUCCAUAGUUCACUACGCCUGGAACGGUGAGUGGAUGAAAGCUCCGGCGGCAUAGGAUGGGCCUGCGGCGUAUCAGGUUGUAGGGGGUGUAACGUACCCUCUAGCCCUCUACGCGUACGGGUGUUGGGAGACAUAGCCCGGAGAUGGAUUCUGAGACACGAAUCCAGACCCUACGGGGUGCAGCAGGCGCGAAAACUUGGCAAUGCGAGAAAUCGUGACCANGGAACUCCAAGUGCAUCGGGUAAGACCGGUGCUUUUCUUGACUCUAAAUAGGUCUUGGAAUAAGGGGUGGGUAAGGACGGUGCCAGCCGCCGCGGUAAUACCGGCGCCUCAAGUGGUAGUCGCUUUUAUUGGGCCUAAAACGUCCGUAGCCGGUCUGAUACAUUCGUGGGUAAAUCAACCAGCUCAACUGGUUG